GGGGAAUUAGCUCAGCUGGUUCAGAGCAUCUGCCUUACAAGCAGAGGGUCACUGGUUCGAAUCCAGUAUUCCCCACCA
rnacentral:tRNA from 1 species